GUAGGGAAAAUGAGGGUUUUCCUUUGUAGAAAAAUCACGAUCCACAAAGAUCCAACGGUCCGAUCUUCAAUCCGUCUUCGGUAACGUGAUCCUUGCACUUGGAUCUACGUUUCCACCGAUCGUUUUGAGGUAAUGGGUUACUUGGAACUUACUUAAGACUACCAAAACCAUGAGUUUUGGUUUGGUGAAUUUUGUGAUACAUUGCAAGGUGGUGUCUAGGAUACCUAGUGCUUAAUAUCCGCACAGCCAAGACAUUGAUGCUUUGGUUACAGGUUCUGCGGAUAUAGAUAUUGACUCGUCCACCUAGCGUAUGUGAUGCUAUGAUUGGAGCACAUCGCGACAGUCAUAAGUCACGGACUCAUGGGUAGUCCGCAUUUUGGGUAUUUUAUCUAUGGCUCGUGUCCUACGUGGCACAUGUAUUUGUUAAGCCUAUAUUUUAGAAUGUAAUUAGUGUAAUAUGUUAUAUAAGCCUUAAAUAAAUAGACUUGUAAAUGGCUCUUGUUGUAAUUAACUGUUGUAUAUUAGAUGUAUUUUCGCUUAUGAUAUGUGUUCCGCUGCACAUUGAUUACUA